CGGAUGAUCAAAAUACAAAUAGACACACUCACCGUGUACAUGAACGAUCAGCACAUUUUGAAUGCCAAAGUGGAGCUGAAUGCCUGCCCUCUAAGACCAACUUUCCUCUUUGCCUACCGUUGCUGACAGGAAGCUAAAGGAAGCCGAGCACGUGUGCACAUUUUGUCUGGUAUUGGGCAGGACCAUGCUGGGCGAGGGCUAUUGCACUGUGCUGAAAUACAAAUGGGACAGUGGAAAUCCUCCUCCUGAAACCGAACACCAUUCAGUCACAGAAGAUCCACCUGCUGAGACCAGCUCCACCUCCCUUAGCCCUAGGCCUUCCCUCAGUCCCCCAAUUUUAGCAGGAAGACAGGGAGGCCAGGAUUCACUAAGGACUCACCUGACAACCACAUCCAAUGAGGAUGGGGGCCUUGAGCUCUAUCGCUCCUGCUGCUCUCUAAGUCUGUGUGAAGACUACUCAGAUCUGCAACUUGGUGGCGACCAGCUAGGGGAGAGAAGGUCACACUGGGAGAGUCAGAUCGGGGAUGGACCACUCCUCCAGUCUGAGGAUCUGGAGCAGAUGCAAAUGCAAGGCCUGGCAGAGUCUCAUGAGCAGGGGAGAUCCUUGAAGGAGUGGGCAGAGCCUCUGCCAAUGCAGGACAAGGAAUACAUGGUGAUGGACAACAGCAUUCUGGGGCUGAGCCGGGAAAGGCUGUCAAACUCCAUGAUAAAUGGGUAUCUGGAGACAAAGUUGCUGGAGGUCUACAGCCAACACAUGCAGGACAACCUUGCACGCCUUGGGUCAACAGUGGAGCCUGAGCUUGUUCCAGCACUGAUGCCUGCAAGCUUGGUAGCAUUGUCUGGCAAAAGGUCAGAUCAGGAUUCAAGGUUGGACUCCACCCAAGGCAGCGUCCGAUACCUCAGCAACUGCUCAGCACCGGAAAACUCAAUUUUCAGCUCACCGGUGCUCCGCAUUUCACAAGCAGAAUCAGAAAAAGCAUCGCAAACCAAAUAAAGGCACUGUCGACAUUAUGGCUUAAUGCACUAACCUUUAUUAAAUGCAACAACCCCAAUGUCCACUUUUUUUUUUAUCAAACCAGCAGUGCACUGUAUUGCUUCAAACUUACAACUGAAUAUACAAAACACUAUGC
rnacentral:lncRNA from 1 species